UACGUAGGGUGCGAGCGUUAAUCGGAAUUACUGGGCGUAAAGCGUGCGCAGGCGGUUCGUUGUGUCGGCGGUGAAAGCCCCGGGCUUAACCUGGGAAUGGCCGUCGAAACUGGCGAACUGGAGUGUGGCAGAGGGGGGUGGAAUUCCGCGUGUAGCAGUGAAAUGCGUAGAGAUCGGGAGGAACAUCUGUGGCGAAGGCGGCCACCUGGACCAGCACUGACACUGAGGCACGAAAGCGUGGGGAGCAAACAGG
rnacentral:rRNA from 1 species